AACGUAGGUGGCGAGCGUUAUCCGGAUUUAUUGGGCGUAAAGAGCGUGUAGGCGGUUAGGUAGGUCCGUUGUGAAAACUCGAGGCUCAACCUCGAGACGCCGAUGGAAACCAUCUGACUAGAGUCCGGAAGAGGAGAGUGGAAUUCCUGGUGUAGCGGUGAAAUGCGCAGAUAUCGAGAGGAACACCUGCGGCGAAGGCGGGUUGCUGGGCUGACACUGACGCUGAUGCGCGAAAGCCAGGGGAGCGAACGGG
rnacentral:rRNA from 1 species